rnacentral:rRNA from 1 species
UUGACGGGGCCCGCACAAGCGGCGGAGCAUGCGGAUUAAUUCGAUGCAACGCGAAGAACCUUACCAAGGCUUGACAUACACCGGUAACGCCCAGAGAUGGGUGCCCCUUUGUGGUCGGUGUACAGGUGGUGCAUGGUUGUCGUCAGCUCGUGUCGUGAGAUGUUGGGUUAAGUCCCGCAACGAGUGCAACCCUCGUCCUAUGUUGCCAGCGGGUCAUGCCGGGGACUCAUGGGAGACUGCCGGGGUCAACUCGGAGGAAGUGGGAUGACGUCAAAUCAUCAUGCCCCUUAUGUCUUGGGCUUCACGCAUGCUACAAUGGCCGGUACAAAGGGCUGCGAUACCGCGAGGUGGAGCGAAUCCCAGAAAGCCGGUCUCAGUUCGGAUUGGGGUCUGCAACUCGACCCCAUGAAGUCGGAGUCGCUAGUAAUCGCAGAUCAGCAACGCUGCGGUGAAUACGUUCCCGGGCCUU